rnacentral:rRNA from 1 species
GACGAACGCUGGCGGCGUGCUUAACACAUGCAAGUCGAACGGAAAGGCCCUGCUUUUGUGGGGUGCUCGAGUGGCGAACGGGUGAGUAACACGUGAGUAACCUGCCCUUGACUUUGGGAUAACUUCAGGAAACUGGGGCUAAUACCGGAUAGGAGCUCCUGCUGCAUGGUGGGGGUUGGAAAGUUUCGGCGGUUGGGGAUGGACUCGCGGCUUAUCAGCUUGUUGGUGGGGUAGUGGCUUACCAAGGCUUUGACGGGUAGCCGGCCUGAGAGGGUGACCGGCAACCUUGGGACUGAAAUACGGCCCAGACUCCUACGGGAGGCAGCAGUGGGGAAUAUUGCACAAUGGGCGGAAGCCUGAUGCAGCAACGCCGCGUGCGGGAUGACGGCCUUCGGGUUGUAAACCGCUUUCGCCUGUGACGAAGCGUGAGUGACGGUAAUGGGUAAAGAAGCACCGGCUAACUACGUG